GUUGAGUUUUUGAAGCUCUUAGUAAAUCCUGAAUAUUAGUCUUAUGAGUUGUGAGGCAUGAGCUGGUCCUUGACAACAUCAGGAAGCAUAGGUGGAAUACAGGUGGGUGAAAACCAAAGUAAGACAGAUAGUAAAAGAAAAUAAAUAGAGAAGAAAUAACAUAAUUGUCCAUCAGGAACACAGAUUUCCAAAAGAGCUCUGAUAAACUUAACAGGAAACCACCAUGAGAUAGUAUGUCAUCCACGUUAGACCGGCUAUUAUCACAAACACUGAAAAUAACACAUGGAUACAGAAAUAUGAAGAAAGGGCAACUUCUGUGCACUGUUGUUGGGGAUAAAAAUGUGUAUAUCCAUGCUGAAAAAGAGAUCAUUUGAAAAAAACCUAGGUGCUACAACAAUCAUACAUUCCAAUAAAAUCUAUAUUGGUAAUAAAUACCCAGAAGACAUGAUGGGAGUGUACAUCCACAGGACGACGUGAUGGAGUGCACACCCACAGGACGUGAUGGAGUGCACACCCACAGGACGUGAUGGAGUGCACACCCACAGGACGUGAUGGAGUGCACACCCACAGGACGUGAUGGACUCUACACCCACAGGACGUGAUGGGGUGUACACCCACAGGACGUGAUGGAGUGCACACCUACAGGACGUGAUGGAGUGUACACCCACAGGACGUGAUGGACUGUACACCCACAGGACGUGAUGGAGUGCACACCCACAGGACGUGAUGGAGUGCACAUCCACAGGACGUGAUGGAGUGCACACCCACAGGACGUGAUGGAGUGCACACCCACAGGACGUGAUGGAGUGUACACCCACAGGACGUGAUGGAGUGCACACCCACAGGACGUGAUGGAGUGCACACCCACAGGACGUGAUGGAGUGUACACCCACAGGACGUGAUGGAGUGUACACCCACAGGACGUGAUGGAGUGUACAUCCACAGGACGUGAUGGAGUGUACACCCACAGGACGUGAUGGAGUGUACACCUACAGGACGUGAUGGAGUGUACACCUACAGGACGUGAUGGAGUGUACACCCACAGGACGUGAUGGAGUGUACACCCACAGGACGUGAUGGAGUGUACAUCCACAGGACGUGAUGGAGUAUACACCCA